GUGAGACAGGUGCUGCAUGGCUGUCGUCAGCUCGUGUUGUGAAAUGUUGGGUUAAGUCCCGCAACGAGCGCAACCCUUAUCCUUUGUUGCCAGCGGUCCGGCCGGGAACUCAAAGGAGACUGCCAGUGAUAAACUGGAGGAAGGUGGGGAUGACGUCAAGUCAUCAUGGCCCUUACGACCAGGGCUACACACGUGCUACAAUGGCGCAUACAAAGAGAAGCGACCUCGCGAGAGCAAGCGGACCUCAUAAAGUGCGUCGUAGUCCGGAUUGGAGUCUGCAACUCGACUCCAUGAAGUCGGAAUCGCUAGUAAUCGUGGAUCAGAAUGCCACGGUGAAUACGUUCCCGGGCCUUGUACACACCGCCCGUCACACCAUGGGAGUGGGUUGCAAAAGAAGUAGGUAGCUUAACCUUCGGGAGGGCGCUUACCACUUUGUGAUUCAUGACUGGGGUGAAGUCGUAACAAGGUAACCGUAGGGGAACCUGCGGUUGGAUCACCUCCUUACCUUACAGA
rnacentral:rRNA from 1 species